GGUGAACGCUGGCGGCGUGCCUAAUACAUGCAAGUCGAGCGAACAGACGAGGAGCUUGCUCCUCUGACGUUAGCGGCGGACGGGUGAGUAACACGUGGAUAACCUACCUAUAAGACUGGGAUAACUUCGGGAAACCGGAGCUAAUACCGGAUAAUAUAUUGAAUCGCAUGGUUCAAUAGUGAAAGACGGUUUUGCUGUCACUUAUAGAUGGAUCCGCGCCGCAUUAGCUAGUUGGUAAGGUAACGGCUUACCAAGGCAACGAUGCGUAGCCGACCUGAGAGGGUGAUCCGCCACACUGGAACUUAGACACGGUCCAGACUCCUACGGGAGGCAGCAGUUGGGAAUCUUCCGCAAUGGGCUAAAGCCUGACGGAGCAACGCCGCGUGAGUCAUGAACGUCUUCGGAUCGUAAAACUCUGUUAUUAGGGAAGAACAAAUGUGUAAGUAACUAUGCUCGUCUUGACGGUACCUAAUCAGAAAGCCACGGCUAACUACGUG
rnacentral:rRNA from 1 species